UUGAACGCUGGCGGUAUGCUUAACACAUGCAAGUCGAACGGAAACGAUACUAGCUUGCUAGUAGGCGUCGAGUGGCGGACGGGUGAGUAACGCGUAGGAAUCUGCCUGAUAGUGGGGGAUAGCCCGAAGAAAUUCGGAUUAAUACCGCAUAAUCUAUUCGUAGUAAAGUGGGGGACUUUCGAGCCUCACGCUAUCAGAUGAGCCUGCGUAAGAUUAGCUAGUUGGUAGGGUAAAAGCCUACCAAGGCGACGAUCUUUAGCUGGUCUGAGAGGAUGAUCAGCCACAUCGGGACUGAGACACGGCCCGAACUCCUACGGGAGGCAGCAGUGGGGAAUAUUGGACAAUGGGGGCAACCCUGAUCCAGCAAUACCGCGUGUGUGAAGAAGGCCUGAGGGUUGUAAAGCACUUUCAAUUGUGAAGAAAAGCUAGUGGUUAAUAGCCAUUAGCCUUGACGUUAACUUUAGAAGAAGCACCGGCUAACUCCGUGCCAGCAGCCGCGGUAAUACGGAGGGUGCAAGCGUUAAUCGGAAUUACUGGGCGUAAAGCGUGCGUAGGCGGUUUAUUAAGUCAGAUGUGAAAGCCCCGGGCUUAACCUGGGAACUGCAUUUGAAACUGGUCAACUAGAGUAUGGUAGAGGAAAGUGGAAUUUCUGGUGUAGCGGGUGAAAUGCGUAGAUAUCAGAAGGAACAUCAAUGGCGAAGGCAACUUUCUGGACCAAUACUGACGCUGAGGUACGAAAGCGUGGGUAGCAAACAGGAUUAGAUACCCUGGUAGUCCACGCCGUAAACGAUGAUAACUAGCCGUUGGGGGGAUUUACCCCUUAGUGGCGAAGCUAACGCGUUAAGUUAUCCGCCUGGGGAGUACGGCCGCAAGGUUAAAACUCAAAGGAAUUGACGGGGACCCGCACAAGCGGUGGAGCAUGUGGUUUAAUUCGAUGCAACGCGAAGAACCUUACCUGGUCUUGACAUCCUGCGAACUUUCUAGAAAUAGAUUGGUGCCUUCGGGAACGCAGUGACAGGUGCUGCAUGGCUGUCGUCAGCUCGUGUCGUGAGAUGUUGGGUUAAGUCCCGUAACGAGCGCAACCCCUAUCCUUAUUUGCCAGCACAUCAUGGUGGGAACUAUAAGGAGACUGCCGGUGAUAAACCGGAGGAAGGCGGGGACGACGUCAAGUCAUCAUGGCCCUUACGACCAGGGCUACACACGUGCUACAAUGGGAAGGACAAAGAGCCGCGAAGCCGCGAGGUGUAGCUAAUCUCAGAAACCUUUUCGUAGUCCGGAUUGGAGUCUGCAACUCGACUCCAUGAAGUCGGAAUCGCUAGUAAUCGUAGAUCAGAAUGCUACGGUGAAUACGUUCCCGGGUCUUGUACUCACCGCC
rnacentral:rRNA from 1 species